CGUGCUUAACACAUGCAAGUCGAACGGUAGAACCAACGGGCGUUNCCCUCGGGGAGUCAGUGGCGAACGGGUGAGUAACACGUGGGCAACCUGCCCCUGACUCUGGGAUAACUCCUCGAAAGAAGUGCUAAUACCGGAUACGACCACUUCGGGCAUCCGAUGGUGGUGGAAAGAAUUUUGGUCAGGGAUGGGCCCACGGCCUAUCAGCUUGUUGGUGGGGUAACGGCCCACCAAGGCGACGACGGGUAGCCGGCCUGAGAGGGCGACCGGCCACACUGGGACUGAGACACGGCCCAGACUCCUACGGGAGGCAGCAGUGGGGAAUAUUGGACAAUGGGCGCAAGCCUGAUCCAGCAAUGCCGCGUGUGUGAAGAAGGCCUGCGGGUUGUAAAGCACUUUUGUUCGGGAAGAAAUCAUGUCGGUUAAUACCCGAUGUGGAUGACGGUACCGGAAUAAGAAGCACCGGCUAACUACGUG
rnacentral:rRNA from 1 species